rnacentral:rRNA from 1 species
GACGAACGCUGGCGGCGUGCCUAAUACAUGCAAGUCGAACGCAGUGGGGACGGGUGAGUAACACGUGGGUAACCUCCAAUCAGAGGGGAUAAAAAUUGGAAACAGGUGCUAAACCGAUACUGAUGGAUGGACCAGCGGUGAAUUAGCUAGUUGGUGAGGUAACGGCGCACCCAGGCACCGAUGCAUAGCCGGCCUGAGAGGGUGAUGGGCCACACUGGGACUGGUACACGGCCCAGACUCCUACGGGAGGCAGCAGUAGGGAAUCUUCGGCAAUGGACGAAAGUCUGACCGAGCAGCGCCGCGUGAGUGUAGAAGGUUUUCGGAUCGUAAAACUCUGUUGUUAGAGAAGCGGUAUCUAACCAGAAAGCCACGGCUAACUACGUGCCAGCCGCCGCGGUAAUUC